rnacentral:rRNA from 1 species
GCGUGGAUGAUGAAGGCCUUAGGGUUGUAAAAUCCUUUCAGCGGGGACGAUAAUGACGGUACCCGCAGAAGAAGCCCCGGCUAACUCCGUGCCAGCAGCCGCGGUAAUACGGAGGGGGCUAGCGUUGUUCGGAAUUACUGGGCGUAAAGCGGGUGUAGGCGGAUCGCUAAGUCGGGGGUGAAAGCCCAGGGCUCAACCCUGGAAUUGCCUUCGAUACUGGCGGUCUCGAGUGUGGGAGAGGUGAGCGGAAUUCCGAGUGUAGAGGUGAAAUUCGU